UAGUGGUGAGGAUAUACAUUUGACUGAUAACCCUGAUGUCUGGAAUACGCUAUUCUGAGCUAUUA